AGGACUCUCCCUUAAGUUGUUCUACUUUUCCUUUUUCUCUUUAUAUUUUUCUUUUUCAUUUUUCUCAAACAAAGGCAGCCGAUCUAGGUGUUUUGCUCUUUGAAUCUCCAACAAUCCAUCAUCACUUUAGGUAUUGUACUCUUUGGAUCUCUCCUUUUAGGGAUUUUACUCAAAAAUUACUAUUUGUGUUUAUCGGUCAUUGUGCUUUAGAGAUCAAGAAUUUUUUUCACAGUGGGCAACGACAAAGAAUAGAUGUUUAAAGCUUGGUUUUAAAUUUAAUCCUGUUGCUGUGUUGUUCUCGCUGGUGGUGUUGCCUGACUGAUGCUUUGAUAUACAGCAACUGUGUUGUAGUUCCUUGUUUGCUGGUUUGGUCAUCGUUAUAUUUACACGACCAAAACACACCAUACACUUACAAAUUUUGUUAAAUGCAUUUCCUUGUAUGCUGACAAAGAAUUUUUGUUUUGUUUGUGUGUGGAUCUUGGGGAUGUGAAUGAGCUGGCCAAGAGAAACAAUUAAACGAAGGGAGUGUGUGUGAGAGAGAAAGAGAGAGAGGCUUUGGCUUUGGAUUUCGGGGUCGGGGUCGGGGUAGGGGUAGGGGCGUUCUGGUUCAUGGGAAAAUCCCUCUCGUGGCUUUGGAUGAAGGCAUCUCAUAGUACAGUUAACAUAGCAGGGUUCAUGAAUCAUGCGUCAAACAGUAAUGAUGGCAGAGACACAUGCAUAUUAAGUUUUUUUUUUUUAUUUCGGAUGGGAUGGUAAUAAGAUAAUAACUGAGGUGAUGAUGGCCCACCUUACUUUAAUUUCUUUUUCGUGUCGGGAUUCAUUUCAUCAGAUUUGACGCUUUGUUUUUAUUGUUUGUUUGUAUGAUAUACACUAUAUAAAAUUUAUUUUUUAUAUGAAAAUUUUUGAAUUAUCUCUAGGCUACUCCAAAUAAAAUUUUCUGUCCAAGGUCUUAUAAGGGUGAAAGUGAAACCUCAUUUGGACACAAAGGGACCUAGUCCUCAUAAUUUUGGAGUAUUUUAUCAUGGUUUUAAAAUUUUUAAUUUACAUCUCCUCAAAAUUUUUAUAAAUUCUAACCAUAGUUUUUUAAAAAAUUAUUUGAACACUCUCAUUUAGAUCUAGUCAUGGUCAGGCCAUCACUUGCACAGGUAUGAAGGUCUGUCUGAAAAGUAGGAAGGUUUAAAACAAAUAUAUGCUUAAAAAAUGAGAUUAGAAAAAAAAGUUUGUUUUCUAAACAGACUGAGCCUCGGGUAAGAUUUUUGCCUAGAGCUGGCUCGAAUUUGUUUAAAAAAAUUUUCAAUGUUAUUUUGCUACUAUUGCUACCACUUUUGUGUUGUUUUGUUGUCAUUUUACUAUUAUAUUGUUACUAUUUUAUUGUUAUUAUUUGAUUAUUAUAUACCACUUGUUUUAUUAUUAAUUUUGCUACUACUUUAGUGGUAUUUGUUUGCUAAAUUGCACUAUCUUAAUCUUAUUUAAGUAUUAAGAUUGUUUUAAUGUAUUUUCAAUUUGUUGGGAAAUAUUUAUUUUAAUGUUUUGAGUGCAUUUGAUAUAUUAUAUUUUUAAAUUUUUUUAUAUAAAAAAAUUAAUAUGAGUUGGGUUGCGCUCAAGUUUAACAUUUUUUAUCUAAUUCAGAUUUGGACAAAAUUUUAAACCUAUUAUUCUAAUUGAAUCAAAACCUAAAAUUCUAUAUUGACCAAACUCGGCUGAUAAUCAAGUCUACUCCCAUUAAUCUUUGAAAAAUUUUAAUUAAAUCCUCAGUUUUUUAAAAUUUAAAACGUUGAUAUAUCUUCUUGAAUUCCAAUGUCGCAGAUGCUUGCUUGAUAGGUUGUAGCUUUUGUGGGGGCUGAUCUCCGUUCUGCACACUUGCAGGUUAUCAUUAAAUUGAAUAAAAUGAACAUUUACUGCAAAACCUUAGCUUACAAUUCACAUACAAAGUAUCACUUUGAUUACACAUAUGAUUAUUUUAAACUUUUUUAAUUUUUAAAUUUGCAGUAUGUCAAGUGAUCGUCUGUGCAUGUAAAUUGGAUUUGAUGAGAAAGGAUACCUUCGUAGUGAGUUUAAAAAAGGAGUUGAAUACGUAGAUUUUGAAUUUUAAAACGUUAAUGUGUUGGUCAAAAUAAGAUUUAAGCGUGAAUUUGAAGGGCAGUGCGAGAUGCAUUUAAUUUAUUUUUCAUCUUACGCUAUAAAAUCGUUAUAAUAUUUAAUUUCAUCAUUAUUAAUAUUUUUAUGCUAAUUGCAAGUAAAUUACCAUGAGGUGAAAAUUUAGCAAAUGUGAUAAUAGAAAGUUUAAACUCGAGAUGAUGUGAUUUAUCAAAAGGUUAUUGAUGUUACGUAUUUUGAAUUUAAUUAGAGUGCAGAACAGCCUUGUAAUGUUUCAAAGUUUUAGUUUUCAAUAUACCAUUGGAACGAGUUAGAUUCGGUUAAAAUUUUUAAAUAAAUUAUUUCAGGUAAUUUGGAACUCGUCUGAUAUUCGAGCCAAAGAGGAAUAGGUAAUUUUAAGUUUUGGAAAAUUUUCAAAUUUGUUUUCAUUAUUUUUGAGUUAUGGUUUAAUUGUUUUUAUUAAUGUAUAAUUAUUUUUGUUGAAUAUUGAUACACAAUCCGGUUAGUUAUGCAUUAAGUGUGUUAAGGACAGGUUAUCUCUGUAGACAAUUUUAGUAAUCAAAAAUUCUGAUAGUAGAACCUCCCUGUAGGAAAUACGAAAACAAGAGGAUGUUUCCUUUCCUUAGGAGAACCAAUACUUUUGCAAGCUUCAACUCCAACUAAUCUCAAGAGUCUAACCAAACCUCAAAUAGUAUUGUUAAUGAACAAGAACAUUAUGAAAAUAUUCCCCAAAAAUUUGAUAAUUGUACUCUUCAAAAGUUUCAACAAAUUAAAUUUAUAAGAAAAUAAUUUUUGAAACUUUAAAGGCAUUUUAUAGAUAUAUUAUAAAAACAAAAGAAAAAAAUUUACCUAUCGAAAAAGAACAUGAAACUAUCCAAUUAUUAGAUAGAUUCGUCAUUAAUAAGCAUCAUAUUGUCAAACAAUUUAUUUGGCUUCUUUAGGACAGUCUAGAACUAUAUAUGAAGGUUCUGUCGGGAACUAAUAAAGAAAAGGAAAAUAAUAAAUUUAAGCAAUAUUUAGUACUUAGAAGAAAAAUGAAGAAAUAAAAUUAACAGAAACAAUAGAUAUAGAGAAGGAUCUAGAAAACUUUAAGUCAGCUAGUCAUAAACAUUUUAGCGGGCAAAUUACAUAUAAAAUCCCAUUUUAAUAAAAAUUUAUCGAAAUGGGCCUAGUAAAUAAUUAUUUACCGAAAUGACCCUAUUUCCCCUAAAGUGCGUCCACGUCAGCAUGAUGUCAGGGGACGUAGCAGGAAAACGUGUCCCUGAGGAAGCGUUUUACCUACAUGGACAGAAAUCGCUCCCUCAAGGGUGCGCUUUAUGUCCAAGUAGGCAAAACACUUCCUCAAGGACGCGUUUUGCCCGUGUCUCCUGCGAUUAGGGUUUUGGGUUAUUGGUUUAAGGCUAGGGUUAGGGUUUUGGUGUUUUUAAGUUUAGGGUAUUAGAGAAAAUUUAAUAAAUAAGAGUUUAGAUUUUGUCAAUUAAAUUAAUUAUAAAUUUUUCAAAAUUGGAUUAGCUUUCGUGUUUAUUUUUUAAGAAAAAAUAAAUUAAAUUAGGGUUUAGGGUUACUUGAGUAAUUUAAUUAAAAAAAUUUUAAAAAUUAGAUUAGGGUUUAGAGUUAAGGGUUUUUAAGGAAAAUCAAAUAAAUUAGGGUUCAGCGUUACUUGAGUAAAUUAAUUAUAAUUUUUUAUAAAACUAGAUUAGGGUUUAGGGUUUAGGGUUUUUAAGUAAAAAUUCAAAUAAAUUUGGGUUUGGGGUUGAGGGUUACUUAAUUAAAUUAUUUGUUAAUUUAAAGAAGCUCCCACGUGGACGCACUUUUGCUACAGUAGCUCUUGAAAAAAUAAUUUCGAGUAGACGUUUUUGAGCAAAUAGUGUCAAAACGCUUUAAGCAGGAUGCUUUGUCAGCAGAAGUACUAAAAAAAGCUUCCACGUGGACAUGCUUUUGCUACUGUAGCUCCUAAAAAAUAAUUUUGAGUAGACGUUUCUAAGCAAAUAGAAUAAAAAACGCUUUAAGCAGGAUGUUUUGUCAGCAGAAGUACUGAAAGAAGCUCCCACGUAGACGCGUUUUUGCUACAGUAGCUCCUGAAAAAUAAUUUUGAGUAGACGUUUCUGAGCAAAUAGAAUCAAAAACGCUUUAAGCAGGAUGUUUUGUCAGCAGAAGUACUGAAAGAAGCUCCCACGUGGACGCGCUUUUGCUACAGUAGCUCCUGAAAAAAUAAUUUCGAUUAAAUGUUUCCGAGCAAAUAGUGUCAAAAACGCUUUAAGAAGGAUGCUUUGUCAGUAGAAGUUUUGAAAGAACCUCCCACGUGGACGCGCUUUUGCUACAGUAGCGCAUGUUUGGCCUGAGGCUAUAAAUGAUGCAAAUUUUUUUCUCAGAUUGCGUAAGUUACAACAAAAAAAUUGAGAGAGGCUAAGAAUGAUAGAAAUUGAAGAUGAGUAAACGUAUUAGUGCUGUUAUUUACUAUAAUGGUGAGGUUUGCCACACCGAGAAUGGUGUUAUUUUUUAUCAAAGAAUACAGUGCGACUGGUUUUUAACCAGAACAUAGAUUGGACAGAACUUCGUAAAAAAAUUAGGCGUAAAAUAUUUGGAACGACGCCAAUGAAAGUUCUGUCUAUUACGUAUCGAUUUUGUUCUUCUGUUGAUCCGGUGACAUAUGACUCGUUCGACAUAAAAAGUGCUUAUAGCUUGGAGGCAAUGGCUCGCUAGAGGAGCACCCUAUAUUGAAUUAUAUGUACAAUUUACAUCACCAAAUGAUGCACUUGCAACUAGUGUUCGAGAGGUAUACGCGACCCCUGCCCGACAAUCGGUUAGUGUGUUACAAAAUACGGAAUAACCCAUGUUUGGUAGCGGUGUGGAAUAUACAACCCCUGCACGACACUUUGUCACUGGAUGGGACAUGUACCUCGGUGGGUCGAUGUUUGAUGCUGGAAAUACGUACUGAGGAACGACAUCAACUUCUAGUGAUUGGCAAUCUACAUCCAAUUGGGGACGUUAUGAAAUGCCUAGAAAAAGGGAUGAUGUACUCCCUACGACGUUUACCGGGGAGGGGACCUCGUACGUUGUAGAUGAUGGUGGGUUAGAAGAUGACUUCGAUGUGGAUACACCUCGAGAGCCCGGGCUCGAUGGUGCAGAAGUUGCAUUAUUCUCUAAAUCGGAGCCUAUUCCAACCGAAUCUAAAAAUGUUGAAGGGGGUUCAGAUGAAGAAGAAGAUCUACGAUUCAGGGCAUACUCACCUCCAGCCCACAUGUAUAAUGUCGAUCUGUCUGCAGAUGAUGCGUUGGAGUUUCUAAAUCUACCACACCAGCUGCGUGAUCGUACAAGUUCGGUACAAGAUUUGGGUGAAUUUGAAAUUGGUAAUCAGUUUUCCAACAAGGAUAGUUUUAUUGGUACUUUGAAACAACAUAGCAUCAAUAACGGUGUUAACUACCACGUCGUUAAGUCCAAAGUUGAUAAGUUUAAGGCGAAGUGUGCAGUGCAAGACAGUACAUGUUCAUGGAAAAUCUACGCCUUGUUGAGGAAAAGGAUAGGGUUGUGGGAGAUUAAAAAGUACAAAGGUCCACAUACAUGUGUUGCAGGUAUAAUAUUUAGGGUCUCUGAAUAAUAUUGUUAUUAUGUAAUGUUGCAUUAUUUAAUGAACUCCGUUUAUAGGUAUUUCACAAGAUCCUCCCAAGAUGGAUUCAGCUAUGUUAGCUAGCUUGAUACUACCGACGGUGAAAGUAGAUCCUAAGACUUUAAUGCCGGUCUUAAUUACCAAUAUUCGUAGCCAAAUAAGGUACACGCCCUCUUACCGCAAGGCUUGGAUAGCUAAGCAGAAGGCGUUGGAGAAGAUGCAUAAUGGGUAGGACGCUUCAUAUAAUGACAUAUGGCAGUGGUGUUAAGUGCUAGAGAGAUACGUCCCAGGUUGCAUAAUAGACCUUCAAACGGAACAUGCGUACUACAACGAUCGAUUGCUGCAUGGAUGCCAAGUGUUCAAACACCUGUUUUGGACAUUUAAGCAAUUCCAAGACGCAUUUCCAUACUGCAAGCCAUUGGUACAAAUUGACGGUACCUUUAUGUUUGGUAGAUAUACCCAUCGGCUAUUGGUAGCAGUGGCACAGGAUGACAGUGGGAGAAUUCUUCCACUUGCAUUUGCAAUAACACCGGGGGAGUCAGCUGAUGAUUGGGAUUUCUUUCUAUCUAAGUUAAGAAGGCAUGUGUGCCCCUAACCUGAUAUAUGUGUUAUUUCAGAUUGAGGCACCGACAUACUAGCUACAAUUCAUCGACAGGGAAGCUUAUGGCAGCGCACACGCCAUCAGUAUUGCCUAAGGCACGUUGCUUCCAAUUACUACAAGAAAUAUCCAUCUAAGAGUGAACGACGACAAGUGACCAACAUGGGUAUUUAGUCUCUAUUAAUAUAAUUUUGUUUGUCAUUUUAGAUUUAUUCUAAUUGAAAGAGUGGUAUGUAAUAUUGCCUAUGAACUUAUAUUGGCAGGGUAUAAAAUAAAUAAAGAUCGUUUUCAUGAGAUGUUGGCAGUUUUGCGUUCAAUUAACGGCGAAGGCGCGGACUACAUUUGUAACAUACCUUUCGAACAGUGGGCACAAGCAUACGACGGUAGCCUACGAUAUGGUCAUAUGACCUCAAACCUGGCUGAAUGCAUAAAUUCUAUUCUAAAAGGAACGUGCCAUCUACCAAUAACAUCGGUUGUGCGAGAGACAUAUUUUCGUUUGGCGGCGUUAUUUCCAAAGCGAGUAGCAAGUUAUGCAGGCCAGAUAAAGAGAGGCCAUGUAUGGUGCAAUAAGGUAGUGCAAGAAAUUAACAAGGCUAAGGCGCGACCGAACACCAUGCACACAGUGUCACGAUCGAGACAACUUAUGGUUUCGCGUGACAGAGUUUGACAGACCGCACCAAGGUGUUAUUGGCAGGCAAUAUCGUGUACACUUGCGAAAUAGGACUUGCGGUUGUAGGAUGUUUGACGCACUUCGAUAUCCAUGCGCUCAUGUAAUUGCAGCUUUUCAGAAUCUCCAUCUGGAUCCUAUGAAUUAUGUCGACGAAGUGUACAAAUAAGAAAAUAUGUACAACGUUUGGAGACACAUAUUUCCACCGGUCCUAGAUGAACAUAAGUGGCCAUUUGUAUCACUUGCUCCCUUUAAGCUGUUACCGGAUAGAGAAUUGCGUCGCAAACCAAAGGGACGACCUUACUCAACUAGAAUACGUAACAAUAUGGAUAUCCGAGAAACAACCAGUCAACAGAAGUUGUACGAAUGGUGUAGAAACCCAGGCCAUACAAGCCGAUCAUGCCCAAAUCGCAAUAGUUGAACGUUAUUGUAAAAAACUUUGUAUUAUUUAUAUUUUUUUAAAUCAAAAAUUGGUACAAAUAUUCAGAAUAUUUAAAAGAAAAUCUAUUUUAUUAAAAAUAUUAAAGUAAAUUACAAUUACUUUAUUCAAAAUAACGUUUUAUUUUAUUAAAUGAAAUAAUAUAGAAAUAUUCAACAUAUUGCCGUAUUUAAAAGAAUUUAUAUUAUAUUAAAAAUGUAUAAGUAAAUUUCUAUUUUAGUACAUGAAAUAAUAUAGAAGAAUUUCUAUUUUAUUACAUCAAAUAAUAUCAAAGUAAUCAAAAUGUUUGUACAAAUAAAAAUCAAUCUCCGUGCCCGCCAGAUUCAGUGCCACAUGGCGGUCAUCGACGAUUACGCGUUGGAUUCCUCCUUUGUCCAUCUUCAGGCGGGGGUUGUGGUUGCUCCAGUGGGGAUUCUAGUUCCUCCGAUAGGGGAUCUAGUUGUCGAUGUUGGGACGAUGAGCCACCUUGAUAGAAUAGUGACUAUGGAGGUGUUUGCAUCACCAAUGACGAAGCUGUUUGAAACCCAUACAAUGAUGGGGUUUGCUAAAAAGAAGAGCUUCCCGACGGCUCCCCUUGUGAUCCCUCGUACGAUGCUGGCCUAUACAUCGGUGGUCCACUCAGCGUAAUCAAAAAUAGAGAUGAACCGGGUCAUUGACUCCAACCUGUCAUAGGGCUAGAAAAAGGAAACAUAUAAGGGUUAGGAUACAUAAAAGGGCUAGGAUACGCACCUGGCAUCAUCUGAAAAGGUUGUGUCGUGGGUAUCGUCGGUUGAAUUGCUGGGUCUGGUGACUGUGUCGGUGUUGUUGCUGGGCCUGGUAAGUGUAUGGGCGAUGAUGAUAGGCAGGGUAAAUGUCUGGGCCACAUUGAUGGGCUUGCAUCGUCGUCCCUUCUUCUUAGAUUUAAAGGGCCAUGUCGUUCUCUUUGGACACGUAAUUGCCACUGCCUCUAAGUCUGGAACGAUGGCAUGUAUUCUGGCACACACGCUAACUCUAGAUCCUAAACCAUGGCAUGUAUUGUGGCACGCACGCUAACUCUGGAACGAUGAUCGGUUCCCGAGUUGGUAUAUAAUCAUACCAAUAUUUUCUCAUUUGGAUAUAGUAUGACCAGAAUCUCGACCAAUCCGUAUGCAGUUGCCGUAGGUCGAUUUUGUGAUGAUUAUCCAACACCUCAGGUGCCACGGGAAUCGGUUGUCGAAAUCUAAAUUGCCGUAAUACUCUGUCCGAAUGGUACAUCUCCACAGACGCAAAGUUAACCAAUGGGACUUUCACAUGCCAAGCAUUUGGAUUUUGGAAGUACUCAUCCGAAAUUACUGCCCGAAUUGCCGGAUCCUUGUAUGGUGCCCAUUGAAACUGUAUGACCAUGAUGGAAAUAUUAGUUAUAUACUAAAUACUAAAUACCAAUCGGCUAUCUCAUGAUGGAAAUAUCUAUUUUAUUUAAUACUUGUGCUUCCGACCGUUGGUCUAAUAGAAGCCGUAUAUCUUCAAAAGAGGUAGGUAAUAGAGCAUAACUUGCAAGAUGGUUCCACCUAAUUAAAUAAUUUUUUAGCAUUCGAUUAUAUUUUAAAUCUACUUAAUAAUUGUAAAAUCUAAUAUAAAAUUUACCUCGUUUUGAGUAGGAAUGUAUACGGGUGAUCCACUUGAGGACGUAAAAAUGGAAAGCAAAAUCGUGCCCAUGACUGCAGUAGUGACAGGCAACCUCCGAUUUUCUCUUUAUUCGGUUGCGUCGCCCUGCACAUCUCCCGGUACAAUGUUGCCAACACGGUAGACCCCCAACUAAUUCACCAGCUGCUCGAAAAUCAACGAGUUUUAGUAGCCAUCUUAGAUGUACGAGGUUCCGUGACAAGUCCGGCAUCAGAUAACCUCUAAUUAUCUAAAGAUUGUAUGCGCGAGCAUAUCGGAUUCUUUCUAGUUCGG
rnacentral:lncRNA from 1 species